rnacentral:lncRNA from 1 species
GAGACGACCAGACGGAAUGGAAACGCGGAUCAGCAGCAGCACAAGACCUCGACGAUCUCUCAGACGAGGCGGCGGCAGAUGGUGACGCCGUCGGCGAUGGCGAGCUGGCAGACCUCGAUGCGUUCGUCGGCGGAGAGGCGGACGUUGAGGUCCCUGAUGGCGGCGGAGAACCUGCGGUCGAGGUCGGACAUGGGGGUGUCGGGCGGCAUCGCCACGGUGCCCGCCCACAGCGUGUUGUCAUACACGAUGGUGCCGCCGACCUUCACCAGGCGCAGCAGCUGCUCGUGGUACUUGACGUAGUUGGGCUUGUCGGCGUCGACGAACGCGAAGUCGAACGCCCCCACGUUGGCCUCGUCGGCGAGGAGCUUGUCGAGGUGGUCCAGCGCGGGGCCCUCGCGGAAGUCCACCUUGUGCGCGACGCCGGCCUUCUCGAUGAAGGGGCGGCCGAUCUCGUAGUACUCGCGGUCGACGUCGAUGGCGAUGACCUUGCCGUCGUCGGGGAGGGCGAGGGCGGUGGCCAGGAGGGAGUAGCCCGUGAACACGCCCACCUCCAGCGUGUUCCGCGCGCCCGUCAGCUUGAUGAGCAUCCGGAGCAGCUGCGCCUCGUCGGGCGACGACUGCAUGAACCCCCACCGGUGCUUGUCCGUCACCAGCCGCAGCUCCCGCAUGCACUCCGGCUCGUGCGGCAGCACCGACGUGUCCAGCACGUACUGCACCCAUCGAUCGUCCAGCCAUCAGUCAGGGAACGAAGAGGGAGGGAGAAACAUUGCCAGCGCGCGUCUUGCAAUCGGUUCAUGAUCACAAAAUCAUCGGCUAACAGAUACUACUAAGUGGUCUGCUCGUUGGGAAUUGAAUUACCUUGUACAGGGCCUCGCUCUUGAGAAGCGUCUUGUUGCUGCUGUCGAGGCCUUCGUGGACCUGGGCCAUGGUGUCGCCGCCGGCCGCCAUGGAUCUCUCUGUCUCUCGCCGCCUUAACUUUCUCCGCGAGGUUGCAGGUGGCAGUGCUUGAUUGCUUGCUAGCUAAGCUCACAGGGUCGCCCACUGCUCGGCCUCGCAGCGAUACUCUAUUUAUGAGCUGGGAGGCCCGGGAGUUUAGCAGGGUUGGUGUGUGUUGCCUGAUUGCUCUCGGCACCA